GACGAACGCUGGCGGCGUGCCUAAUACAUGCAAGUAGAACGCUGAAGGAGGAGCUUGCUUCUCUGGAUGAGUUGCGAACGGGUGAGUAACGCGUAGGUAACCUGCCUGGUAGCGGGGGAUAACUUUUGGAAACGAUAGCUAAUACCGCAUAAGAGUAGAUGUUGCAUGACAUUUGCUUAAAAGGUGCAAUUGCUUCUCUACCAGAUGGCCCUGAGUUGUAUUAGCUAUGGGGUGGGCUAACGGCUGACCAAGGCGACGUUAGCUAACCGACCUGACAGGGGGCUCUGCCACGCUGGGACUGAGACACGGCCCAGACUCCUGCGGGAGGCAGCAGUAGGGAAUCUUCGGCGAUGGACGGAAGUCUGACCAAGCGACGCCGCGUGAGUGAAGAAGGUUGUCGGAUCGUAAAGCUCUGUUGUAAGAGAAGAUCGAGUGUGAGAGUGGAAAGUUCACACUGUGACGGUAUCUGACCAGAAAGCGACGGCUAACUACGUG
rnacentral:rRNA from 1 species